rnacentral:rRNA from 1 species
AUUGAACGCUGGCGGCAUGCUUUACACAUGCAAGUCGAACGGCAGCACGGGGAGCUUGCUCCCUGGUGGCGAGUGGCGAACGGGUGAGUAAUAUAUCGGAACGUGUCCAAUAAUGGGGGAUAACUAGUCGAAAGAUUAGCUAAUACCGCAUACGCCCUGAGGGGGAAAGUGGGGGAUCUUCGGACCUCACGUUAAUGGAGCGGCCGAUAUCUGAUUAGCUAGUUGGUAGGGUAAAAGCCUACCAAGGCGACGAUCAGUAGCUGGUCUGAGAGGAUGAUCAGCCACACUGGGACUGAGACACGGCCCAGACUCCUACGGGAGGCAGCAGUGGGGAAUUUUGGACAAUGGGCGCAAGCCUGAUCCAGCCAUGCCGCGUGAGUGAAGAAGGCCUUCGGGUUGUAAAGCUCUUUCGCAAGGAAAGAAAACUUACAUAUAAAUAAUGUGUGAGGUUGACGGUACCUUGAUAAGAAGCACCGGCUAACUACGUG